UGAGGAAUAUUGGUCAAUGGCCGUAAGGCUGAACCAGCCAAGUCGCGUGAGGGAAGAUGGCCCUACGGGUUGUAAACCUCUUUUGCCGGGGAGCAAAAGACGCCACGCGUGGCGUCCCGAGAGUACCCGGAGAAAAAGCCACGGCUAACUCCGUGCCAGCAGCCGCGGUAAUACGGAGGAUGCGAGCGUUAUCCGGAUUUAUUGGGUUUAAAGGGUGCGCAGGCGGACUUCCAAGUCAGCGGUAAAAUCGCGGGGCCCAACCCCGCCCAGCCGUUGAAACUGGGAGUCUCGAGUGGGCGAGAAGUAUGCGGAAUGCGUGGUGUAGCGGUGAAAUGCAUAGAUAUCACGCAGAACCCCGAUUGCGAAGGCAGCAUACCGGCGCCCGACUGACGCUCAUGCACGAAAGCGUGGGUAUCGAACAGGA
rnacentral:rRNA from 1 species